ensembl:snRNA U6 U6 spliceosomal RNA
GUGCUCACUUCAGCAGCAGCACAUAUGCUAAAAUUGAAAUGAUACAGAGAAGAUUAGCAUGGCCUAGCACAAGGAUGACACGCAAAUUUGUGACGUGUUCCACAUUUUU